rnacentral:rRNA from 1 species
CAGUAGCCGCGGUAAUACGAAGGGGGCUAGCGUUGUUCGGAUUUACUGGGCGUAAAGCGCACGUAGGCGGACUUUUAAGUCAGGGGUGAAAUCCCGGGGCUCAACCCCGGAACUGCCUUUGAUACUGGGAGUCUUGAGUUCGAGAGAGGUGAGUGGAAUUGCGAGUGUAGAGGUGAAAUUCGUAGAUAUUCGCAGGAACACCAGUGGCGAAGGCGGCUCACUGGCUCGAUACUGACGCUGAGGUGCGAAAGCGUGGGGAGCAAACAGGAUUAGAUACCCGAGUAGUCCCUGUCUCUUAUAC